GACGAACCGUGCGAACGUUGUUCGGAAUCACUGGGCUUAAAGGGCGCGUAGGCGGGCUGUCAAGUCUGGGGUGAAAUGCCGCGGCUCAACCGUGGAACUGCCUUAGAUACUGACGGCCUCGAGGAAGGUAGGGGCAUGCGGAACUGUAGGUGGAGCGGUGAAAUGCGUUGAUAUCUACAGGAACUCCGGUGGCGAAAGCGGCGUGCUGGACCUUUUCUGACGCUGAGGCACGAAAGCGUGGGGAGCAAACAGG
rnacentral:rRNA from 1 species